rnacentral:rRNA from 1 species
UACGGAGGGGGCUAGCGUUGUUCGGAAUUACUGGGCGUAAAGCGCGCGUAGGCGGACCUGCAAGUCGGGGGUGAAAGCCCGAGGCUCAACCUCGGAACUGCCUUCGAUACUGCGGGUCUCGAGUCCGGGAGAGGUGAGUGGAAUUCCUAGAGUAGAGGUGAAAUUCGUAGAUAUUAGGAAGAACACCAGUGGCGAAGGCGGCUCACUGGCCCGGUACUGACGCUGAGGCGCGAAAGCGUGGGGAGCAAACAGG